AAUGGCUGAGCAGGGCCACUAAUGGGUGGCUCAUUGACAGUUGGUUGCCAGUGUGGGGGCCCACUAAGGCACCAACCAAUGACUGAGCAGGACCAACUGCCUGGGAACAGAGCGUAAUGAUGCAUGACAAUGGCUGCUGUGUUAAGAGCCUAAGAGCCCAACUCACUGCGCUCUGUUACAUACAGACUGCCCGCUCAGGCAGACUGCCUCUGCGAUUGGCUGCAGAGGUGGGGAUGGGAGAGAGGUUCACUGCUGCUUCAAGGCUUGGGCCAAGGCCAGUGGAUGACCUUGGUGAGGAUCCUGGAGCCCUGCAAGACACAGCACCUAGCCUGUUCCCUGGGGGCCCCAAAUCAUCCCAGGGACAAGGCCAGGACUGCAUCUUCACUGCCCGCCUGAUGAUUACCACUCUACCAACUGUUGGCUGAAUGACUAACUGUCGCUCAUUGGCAGUUGGUCACUUGGAGGAGGGGCCACUGAAGGGCUAACAAUAGCUGAGCAGGACCACUAAUAGUCAUGUGAAAGGGACCUGCAAACGCUAAUAACCAUCCUUUUGCUGAGGGAACAUUGCCACCUAGCAACAGAAUCAAGGCUCCAGACCAAGGAUACAUUCCAGCUACACAUUUUCAAGUGCACGGAGACAAGAGUUGGGGAGGAGGAGUUGGGCAUCUCUCCGAGACAAUUCUCUCCAUUCGGGACACUAGCACCCUCAGUAUAGAAAUCCUGUCUGACUGUUCUACCACUUGGGUGUGUAUGAAGAUAACAAAAACAAGACCACAGUCCCACUUGACACCUCGAUUACAGCCUGAGGCUGAGGUACCCAGGUCACUUUUUCAUUCUGUUAUCGCCCUUCAAUUUAUCUGCUGAAGAACGCAAGGCAUUUGACAUGUAGCGUUUCCCACAAUACAGGUUUUCCUAAAUAUAUGUCCAUGGUGAAGUUCAACAUGUUCCUCUGUUCUAUUUCCUAUAAAAUAGGAAACUGAUCAAUUCUUUUGGAAAGACUAUAGAUAGUGAUUGGAGAAGGCAAUGGCAC
ensembl:lncRNA